CAAAGUACAGCUAAAGUAGAAAAGUAUCUCCCUUACACUGAGAAGACAUCCGUGCAAAUCGGAUUACUUUGA
rnacentral:tRNA from 1 species